rnacentral:rRNA from 1 species
AAAAACAUGGUUUUUUGUUUUAUAUAAAAAAUCUGGCCUGCUCAGUGAGUUUUAAAUAGCUGCAGUAUUUUGACUGUACAAAGGUAGCAUAAUCACUUGUCCUUUAAUUGAGGUCUGGAAUGAAUGGUUUGAUGAAAAAUAUACUUUAUUUAUUUUUAAGAAAAAAUUAAUUUUUGAGUAAAAAAGCUUGAAAAUUUUUUUAUAGGACGAGAAGACCCUAUAGAGCUUUAUUUUAUUAUUUUUGUAUUAUAUUAGGUUAUAUAUUUUUAAUAAAAAUGGUGAAAUUUUGUUGGGGUGACAAAAAAAAUAUAAUAACUUUUUUUAAUUAUUGCAUUAAUUAAUGUAUUUUUGAUCCUUUUUUUGGAAAAAAGAAUAAGCUACCUUAGGGAUAACAGCGUUAUUAUUUUGGAGAGUUCAUAUCGAUGAAAUAGUUUGCGACCUCGAUGUUGGAUUAAAAUAAGAUAUAGAAGUAGAAUGUUAUAUUCUUGGUCUGUUCGACCUUUAAAUUUU